CGCAGGCGAGUAAAAGCUCCUCCCAGGUACCCCAUGUUUGUUUCUCGGGAAAGCUGUGGUGUUUAGCCAUGAAAUAAAUGAAAAGAAGAGAAGGAAAAGAUAUUAAUAGUACCGGUCACGGUUCAAUAAUAAGUCUCUUUUUGCGAAUAAGAGGGGUGGCAUGAAUUUAGAAGGUAAUCAGGAAAUUGAAAGAAUGGGAAAGGGAGCCCUAGGAUGCCGAACCAGAAGGAACAGGCCUAAGGUUAUUGGGCUGAUUGAUGGAGGGUGAGGCGGACCAAGUUAGCAACAUUUAGUAGCGGGCUGAUUCCUACAGCAAGCCCAAGGGACUGAUUUAAUGACUGGAUUGCUGAUGACUCAUUUUCCUCUCAUGCUAGCUGUUAAAAAAGUGAAGUAUGUUACAACAGAAUUUCUAUUAUAUUCUCAAGGCAUGGAAUGAAAUCAGUAGUUUCCCUUUCUCUCAA